UCCCCGUUACCGGGGCAGUAUCAGUAGAAAAAUUCAACUACUGACAAGGGUUGCGCUCGUUGAUGGACUUAACCAAACAUCUCACGACACGAGCUGACGACGGCCAUGCAAGAUCUGUCACCGAGUUCAAUAAAGCACUCACUCCUUUCGGAGUAAUUCUCGGGAUGUCAAGCCCUGGUGAGGUUCUUCGUUUAUCAUCGAAUUAAAGAACACGCUCCACCGCUUGUGCGGGUCCCCGUCAAUUCCUUUGAGUUUUAGCCUUGCGGCCGUAGUCCCCAGGCGGAGUACUUAUCGCGUUAGCUGCGGCACCGAGGGGGUCGAUACCCCCGACACCUAGUACUCAUCGUUUACAGCGUGGACUAC
rnacentral:misc_RNA from 1 species